AUUGAACGCUGGCGGCAGGCCUAACACAUGCAAGUCGAACGAGUGGCGGACGGGUGAGUAAUGUCUGGGAAACUGCCUGAUGGAGGGGGAUAACUACUGGAAACGGUAGAUAAUACCGCAUAACAUCAGAUGUGCCCAGAUGGGAUUAGCGUGUUGGUGGGGUAACGGCUCACCAAGGCGACGAUCCCUAGCUGGUCUGAGAGGAUGACCGACAACACUGGAACUUGGACACGGUCCUGACUCCUACGGGAGGCAGCAGUGGUGAAUAUUGCACAAUGGGGGCAAGCCUGAUGCAGCCAUGCCGCGUGUAUGAAGAAGGCCUUCGGUUUGUAAAGUACUUUCAGCGGGGAGACGUUACCCGCAGAAGAAGCACCGGCUAACUCCGUGCCAGCAGCCGCGGUAAUAC
rnacentral:rRNA from 1 species